UACGCAGGGGGCUAGCGUUGCUCGGAAUUACUGGGCGUAAAGCGCACGUAGGCGGUCUUUUAAGUCGGGGGUGAAAUCCUGGAGCUCAACUCCAGAACUGCCUUCGAUACUGGAAGACUUGAGUCCGGGAGAGGUGAGUGGAACUGCGAGUGUAGAGGUGAAAUUCGUAGAUAUUCGCAAGAACACCAGUGGCGAAGGCGGCUCACUGGCCCGGUACUGACGCUGAGGUGCGAAAGCGUGGGGAGCAAACAGG
rnacentral:rRNA from 1 species